rnacentral:rRNA from 1 species
AUUGAACGCUGGCGGCAGGCCUAACACAUGCAAGUCGAGCGGAUGAAGGGAGCUUGCUCCUGGAUUCAGCGGCGGACGGGUGGGUAAUGCCUAGGAAUUUGCCUGGUAGUGGGGGAUAACGUCCGGAAACGGGCGCUAAUACCGCAUACGUCCUGAGGGAGAAAGUGGGGGAUCUUCGGGCCUCACGCUAUCAGAUGAGCCUAGGUCGGAUUAGCUAGUUGGUGGGGUAAAGGCCUACCAAGGCGACGAUCCGUAACUGGUCUGAGAGGAUGAUCAGUCACACUGGAACUGAGACACGGUCCAGACUCCUACGGGAGGCAGCAGUGGGGAAUAUUGGACAAUGGGCGAAAGCCUGAUCCAGCCAUGCCGCGUGUGUGAAGAAGGUCUUCGGAUUGUAAAGCACUUUAAGUUGGGAGGAAGGGCAGUAAGUUAAUACCUUGCUGUUUUGACGUUACCAACAGAAUAAGCACCGGCUAACUUCGUG